rnacentral:rRNA from 1 species
GACGAACGCUGGCGGCGUGCUUAACACAUGCAAGUCGAACGGAAAGGCCCCCUUGUGGGGUACUCGAGUGGCGAACGGGUGAGUAACACGUGAGUAACCUACCCUUGACUUUGGGAUAACUUCAGGAAACUGGGGCUAAUACCGGAUAGGAGCUCCUGCUGCACGGUGGGGGGUGGAAAGUUUCGGCGGUUGGGGAUGGAUUCGCGGCUUAUCAGCUUGUUGGUGGGGUAGUGGCUCACCAAGGCUUAGACGGGUAGCCGGCCUGAGAGGGUGACCGGCGACAAUGGGACUGAGAGACGGACCAGACUCGUACGGGAGGCAGCGGUGGGGAAUAUGGCACAAUGGGAGGAAGCCUGAUGCGGCGACGCCGCGUGCGGGAUGACGGCCUUCGGGUUGUAAACCGCUUUCGCCUGUGACGAAGCGUGAGUGACGGUAAUGGGUAAAGAAGCACCGGCUAACUACGUG